rnacentral:rRNA from 1 species
AUGAACGCUGGCGGCGUGCCUAAUACAUGCAAGUCGAGCGAACGGACGAGAAGCUUGCUUCUCUGAUGUUAGCGGCGGACGGGUGAGUAACACGUGGAUAACCUACCUAUAAGACUGGGAUAACUUCGGGAAACCGUAGCUAAUACCGGAUAAUAUUUUGAACCGCAUGGUUCAAAAGUGAAAGACGGUCUUGCUGUCACUUAUAGAUGGAUCCGCGCUGCAUUAGCUAGUUGGUAAGGUAACGGCUUACCAAGGCAACGACGCAUAGCCGACCUGAGAGGGGGAUCGGCCAACAGGGAAGUGGACACGGGUCCAGACCCCAAGGGGGGGCAGCAGUGGGGAAUCUUCCGAAAGGGGCGAAAGCCGGACGGGGCAACGCCGGGGGAGUAAGAAAGGUCUUGGGAUCGAAAAACUUUUUUAUUAGGGAAAAACAUAUGGGUAAGAACCUGGGCACAUCUGGCCGGUACUAAAUCAAAAAGCCCCGGCAAACUACG